CCAAUAGCGUAUAUUAAAGUUGUUGCAGUUAAAAAGCUCGUAGUUGAAUUUCGGGAUCAAUAUGUCGGUCGUGCCUUCGGUACGUACUGGUAUCAUUGGUUUCUCCUUUCUGACGAACCAUGAUGUCAUUAAUUUGGUGUUAUGGGGAGUUAGGACUGUUACUUUGAAAAAAUUAGAGUGUUUAAAGCAGGCUUUAGCUUGAAUACAUUAGCAUGGAAUAAUGAAAUAGGACGUUCGAACCUAUUUUGUUGGUUUCUAGGAUCAACGUAAUGAUUAAUAGGGAUAGUUGGGGGCAUUAGUAUUCAAUUGUCAGAGGUGAAAUUCUUGGAUUUAUUGAAGACUAACUACUGCGAAAGCAGUUGCCAAGGAUGUUUUCAUUAAUCAAGAACGAAAGUUAGGGGAUCGAAGACGAUCAGAUACCGUCGUAGUCUUAACCAUAAACUAUGCCGACUAGGGAUCGGAUGAUGUUAAUUUUUUAAUGGCUCAUUCGGCGCCUUACG
rnacentral:rRNA from 1 species